GAUGAACGCUGGCGGCGUGCCUAAUACAUGCAAGUCGAGCGAACAGACGAGGAGCUUGCUCCUUCGACGUUAGCGGCGGACGGGUGAGUAACACGUAGGUAACCUACCUAUAAGACUGGGAUAACUUCGGGAAACCGGAGCUAAUACCGGAUAAUAUUUCGAACCGCAUGGUUCGAUAGUGAAAGAUGGCUUUGCUAUCACUUAUAGAUGGACCUGCGCCGUAUUAGCUAGUUGGUAAGGUAACGGCUUACCAAGGCAACGAUACGUAGCCGACCUGAGAGGGUGAUAGGCCACACUGGAACUGAGACACGGUCCAGACUCCUAAGGGAGGCAGCAGUAGGGAAUCUUCCGCAAUGGGCGAAAGCCUGACGGAGCAACGCCGCGUGAGUGAUGAAGGUCUUCGGAUCGUAAAACUCUGUUAUUAGGGAAGAACAAACGUGUAAGUAACUGUGCACGUCUUGACGGUACCUAAUCAGAAAGCCACGGCUAACUACGUG
rnacentral:rRNA from 1 species